CUACAUCAUGAAAUCCAAACAAUGAAAUUCUCAAUUAAUAGGAUUUAAAUUCAUGGAAUUGUAUUUUGAAAUUUCUAUGGACACAUCAUGAAAUUCAAACAAUGGAAUUCUCAAUUAAUAGGAUUUAAAUUCAUGACAUUGUAAUUCCCAUAAUUUUAAAAUUUCUAUGGACAUUAAAAUUACUUUAUCCAAAAACAACGUUAUGAAGCUGGUCAAUGGGUUAAUUGAUUGAUAUAAAUGUUUCUGAUAUGUACUUCAUAGAAUGUUAUACAUGCAAAUUAUACUCAGCUGUUAUACUGAUUAUAUAUCUAGAGUUAAUGACAAUAUUGUGGUUUCUUAAAAAUAACAGGGGCAAAAUGGUCAAUAUAUCCGCUUCUUAGCACGGUGUAGUAUCUACAUUAUGUAUAUUUCACAUAUGUAUAAGAGUUAUCACAAAAACAACUUUUAUAUAACAAAAUAUCUAGUCUUGUAUUCUACCCAAAAUAUAAAUGCUCCAAUUGUUUUUAGAGUAAUUUUAAAUACACACCCCUAAUAUCUUAAUACACACCCCUUACUU
rnacentral:lncRNA from 1 species